UACGGGGGGGGGUAAGCGUUGUUCGGAAUUACUGGGCGUAAAGGGCUCGUAGGCGGCCAACUAAGUCAGACGUGAAAUCCCUCAGCUUAACUGGGGAACUGCGUCUGAUACUGGAUGGCUUGGAUUUGGGAGAGGGAUGCGGAAUUCCAGGCCGUAGCGGUGAAAUGCGUAGAUAUCUGGAGGAACACCGGGUGGCGAAGGCGGCUCUCUGGGACGGUACUGACGGCGA
rnacentral:rRNA from 1 species